UUUUCAGCCUUGAUGAAAGUCAGAACAUACAGGGUGUCCAACAAGUCAACGGUAAUAUUUAAAGGGCGGAUAUAGAUAUAGAAUAUGAAAUGCCCUUAGUAAAAAUUGAUGGUUUUCGAGAUAUUGGCAAUUCAAUGGAAUUCAUUAAAAUCGUUCACUUGAAUCAGAUUUUCGAGUGUGACUCCUAAAAAAAUUCUUAUUUUUAGAUUCAGAUUUUCUAUAUUAAUUAAGCAUUUCAUUAAUCAAAUAGCAACAUAUGAUUAGUUCUCAAAACUAUACAACAACUGCCAGGUAUUCAUUAAGGAAGUGACAGUACAACCUUUUCACUGAUUCAGAAAUCCAUUUUUAAAGUAAUAACUCAAAUCAUUGUGACCGCGCAGACUGUUUACAUGAGAGAUACUGGCCUUAGUUAGAUUGAGAAAAAUUGUCACUUUCCCGUUCGAGAAGGAAAACCCCGUGUCGAUUAUGAUGAUGAAAUUUUAAGAGACAUUUCAGCUGAGCAAUCGCAAGAUGAACAAGGAUGCCAAAAUUAAAUAUGAUUACUACUUGAACACUUGAACACCCAAAUUUUUUUACUGGGGUUGCAUAAAAGAAAAGGUUUAUGCAAAACCAAAAAUAAUAUUCAUGAAUUACGUCAGUGAAUAACUAACGCGGCCCAAGAGCUGAAUGUCGCAAGAAAUGCAAGAUGGAUAAAGAGGUCGUUUUUGAGAAGAUACAUCGCCUGCAUUUGCGUUAGUAGUAGGCAAUUUGAACAUAUUGUUUAAUUUUUUUUAGGUUAAAUUAAAACGGUACUUUAAACAUGA